rnacentral:misc_RNA from 1 species
CCGUCAAUUCCUUUAAGUUUUAGCCUUGCGGCCGUACUCCCCAGGCGGGAUGCUUAAUGCGUUAACUGCGUUACCGCAGGGGUCAAUACCCGCGACGACUAGCAUCCAUCGUUUACGGCGUGGACUACCAGGGUAUCUAAUCCUGUUCGCUCCCCACGCUUUCGUGCCUCAGUGUCAGUACCAGCCUAGUCAGCUGCCUACGCAAUCGGGGUUCUGGAAGCUAUCUAUGCAUUUCACCGCUACAGCUUCCAUUCCGCCAACCUCGUCUGGACUCAAGCCCGCCAGUAUCCAGGGCAGUUCCACAGUUGAGCUGUGGGCUUUCACCCCGGACUUAACAGGCCACCUACGCACCCUUUAAACCCAAUAAAUCCGGACAACGCUUGCACCCUCCGUAUUACCG